AGAGUUUGAUCCUGGCUCAGAAUCAACGCUGGCGGCGUGCCUAAUACAUGCAAGUCGAACGCGAAGACCCCGCAAAGGGUUGUUAGCGUGGCAAACGGGUGAGUAACGCGUGGGCGACCUGCCCUCGAGUGGGGGAUAACCUUCCGAAAGGGAGGCUAAUACCGCAUGAAAUGCCGUGUUUGGAUACACGGACAUCAAAGCCGGGGAUCGCAAGACCUGGCGCUUGGGGAGGGGCCUACGUCCGAUUAGCUAGUUGGUGGGGUAACGGCCUACCAAGGCGACGAUCGGUAUCCGGCCUGAGAGGGCGGACGGACACACUGGGACUGAGACACGGCCCAGACUCCUACGGGAGGCAGCAGUAGGGAAUUGUUCGCAAUGGGCGCAAGCCUGACGACGCAACGCCGCGUGGAGGAUGAAGACCUUCGGGUCGUAAACUCCUUUCGACCGAGAUGAACAGCCACCGACCUAAUACGUUGGUGGCCUGACAGUACCGAGGAA
rnacentral:rRNA from 1 species